rnacentral:lncRNA from 1 species
UUAUUUAGGAAUGUAACUGGUCAAUAACAAUAAUAUUUGUAGGUCUGGACUAAUUUGUGCUGGCUUUUCUUCUCUUUCUCUUUUAAGAUCAGCCUGUCGUGAUCAUAAAAUACAUCAGCUGAUCACCAGAAAAAUCGGUGGAAUCUGAUUUCUGACACCUCUGCUGRAGACUGCUAUUUCUAUUCCUGUUACUAUGGAAACAAUUUUGGACCACCAAACAUGCCAUAAGGAACAUAUAAAGCAUCACUUUUUCAACUGAGAUAUCAAGUGGACCUGCGAAACAUCCUGUCGGAGCAUGUGGCCAGCACAAGGAGCCUAGGCACUGACUUCUACAGCUGCAGAGUUUUAAUUGACCCCUUCAUUUGAAGGCUUUUCCAACUCGAAGUACAUUUUGUUGUCUAUGAGCUGAGUGCCAUCAGCAGGAUGAUUUGCUGAGUAAGUCCAGAAGACACAGAACUUCACAUUCAAGCUUGUCU